rnacentral:rRNA from 1 species
ACGAACGCUGGCGGCGUGCUUAACACAUGCCAGUCGAACGGAAAGGCCCUGCUUUUGUGGGGUGCUCGAGUGGCGAACGGGUGAGUAACACGUGAGUAACCUGCCCUUGACUUUGGGAUAACUUCAGGAAACUGGGGCUAAUACCGGAUAGGAGCUCCUGCUGCAUGGUGGGGGUUGGAAAGUUUCGGCGGUUGGGGAUGGACUCGCGGCCUAUCAGCUUGUUGGUGGGGUAGUGGCUUACCAAGGCUUUGACGGGUAGCCGGCCUGAGAGGGUGACCGGCCACAUUGGGACUGAGAUACGGCCCAGACUCCUACGGGAGGCAGCAGUGGGGAAUAUUGCACAAUGGGCGGAAGCCUGAUGCAGCAACGCCGCGUGCGGGAUGACGGCCUUCGGGUUGUAAACCGCUUUCGCCUGUGACGAAGCGUGAGUGACGGUAAUGGGUAAAGAAGCACCGGCUAACUACGUG